UACGAAGGGGGCUAGCGUUGCUCGGAAUCACUGGGCGUAAAGCGCACGUAGGCGGCUUUCUAAGUCAGGGGUGAAAUCCUGGAGCUCAACUCCAGAACUGCCUUUGAUACUGGAGAGCUCGAGUCCGGAAGAGGUAAGUGGAAUUCCGAGUGUAGAGGUGAAAUUCGUAGAUAUUCGGAAGAACACCAGUGGCGAAGGCGACUUACUGGACACAUAUUGACGCUGAGGUGCGAAAGCGUGGGGAGCAAACAGG
rnacentral:rRNA from 1 species